GAAACGGUAGUUCAAAGGAAGAACGCUGACCUUCCAAGUCAGAGGUUGCGGGUUCAAUUCCCGCCCGUUUCA
rnacentral:tRNA from 1 species